rnacentral:rRNA from 1 species
UGGGGGAAUCUUGGACAAUGGGCGCAAGCCUGAUCCAGCCAUGCCGCGUGAGCGAUGAAGGCCUUAGGGUUGUAAAGCUCUUUCACCGGUGAAGAUAAUGACGGUAGCAGGUAAAGAAACCCCGGCUAACUCCGUGCCAGCAGCCGCGGUAAUACGGAGGGGGUUAGCGUUGUUCGGAAUUACUGGGCGUAAAGCGCACGUAGGCGGACCAGAAAGUUGGGGGGUGAAAUCCCGGGGGGCUCAACCCCGGAACUGCCUCCAAAACUAUUGGUCUAGAGUUCGAGAGAGGUGAGUGGAAUUCCAAGUGUAGAGGUGAAAUUCGUAGAUAUUUGGAGGAACACCAGUGGCGAAGGCGGCUCACUGGCUCGAUACUGACGCUGAGGUGCGAAAGUGUGGGGAGCAAACAGGAUUAG